rnacentral:rRNA from 1 species
UCGAGAAUUUUUCUCAAUGGGGGCAACCCUGAAGGAGCGACGCCGCGUGGAGGAUGAAGGCUUUCGGGUUGUAAACUCCUGUCAUUUGAGAACAAGUGGGACGCCGUAACUACGCGUCCCUUGAUAGUAUCAGAAGAGGAAGGGACGGCUAACUCUGUGCCAGCAGCCGCGGUAAUACAGAGGUCCCGAGCGUUGUUCGGAUUCAUUGGGCGUAAAGGGUGCGUAGGUGGCGUGGUAAGUCGGGUGUGAAAUUUCGGAGCUUAACUCCGAAACUGCAUUCGAUACUGCCGUGCUUGAGGACUGGAGAGGAGACUGGAAUUUACGGUGUAGCAGUGAAAUGCGUAGAGAUCGUAAGGAAGACCAGUGGCGAAGGCGGGUCUCUGGACAGUUCCUGACACUGAGGCACGAAGGCCAGGGGAGCAAACGG